UUUAUUAAUUAUAAAAAUAUUAAGUUUUAGUAAUCAUUCUUAUAUUAAUAAUUUUCUUUAUUAAUUUUUAGAAUUGAGGGAAUUUAGAAAUAUUAAACUGGUUUUUUUCUCAAAAAUAUGGCUUACUUAUUAAAUAUGAUUGAUAAUACCUAUAAUAGUUUCUUCUUCGGUAGAUGGGUUGAUUUGCACAUUUGACAUUGCUGGAGAUAUCGAUGAUGAAGAUCAUCUGGAAUCAGUUAUUAAUGUGGGAACUUCAAUCUCAAAGGCGGGUUUUUUUGGUGAAAGUUGCCUGAAGCUUUGGUGUUUAACGCAUAUUGAAACCUUGAGCAUCUGGGAUCGGAAAGAUGCUAGAAAUGAAGUAAACUUCACAGAUGCUCUUCAAAGGUUGGAGCUUGGAUAAUGUUGACUAUUUUGUUGACUGUCACUACUCUAGAGAAGCUCAACAACAAUGGGCGAUUGGUGGCACUAAUACUGGUGUUUUGGGCAACUUCCAUGUGAAUUAUAUAUAAUGGGGUGGCCAUACAAGUGUUGUAAGGAGUGUGUAGCCCACGUCAAGAAUUCACGGUGGACCUGGUUGUGACCAAGACUUUUUUGGAUGGACAAGCGGGGAAUACGACCGCCUUUGUUGCUGGCUGUCUGAUGAUUCACCUCAGGUGAAUCGAUUAUGGAUUUCGAGCAUGUUGAUAAUGAAGUCUGAAAGAACUCGCGAGACAAAUCGUCGUCAGCCUUACUAGCAAGGUUUCUAUUGUUGUCUUUUGAACAAAAUAGCGUUGGUUGUCAGGCAUGUAACUGAGUGAUUUCGAAACAUUGGGGCUAGGCAUUUGGGUAUCUUGUGCGUGCCCAUUUUUAAAGGCUGAUUGAUUGGCAACUUGUAUCAUAUGGGUAGGGAGUAUCAUUGUUUUAAUAAAUUUAUUGAUUUGUUUUU